UUAUUUAAAGAUUAUAUUUUCAAGAACUACAAAGCCACGAUGAGUAAUCUUAUUAAAGCAACUUGUUAAAGUUUUGAUUCUAAGUUGUUGAAACAAAGCUGUGACUAAAAAAGGGCACAAUGUUAAGAAAUUAUCUACUGAAUUGUCCAAAUAUUUUGGUACUAGACUUUAUAUAGAUGCAUUUCGUUGUAAAAGUAGUUCGUAGUUUGCACCUAAGAAGGCUGGAUGGUCACGGACAACCAUUAAUAGAACCAUUUUAACAAGACCUUGGACUUCCGGUUGGACGUAGCUAUGUAUUUCUUGCGUCAAAACAAGUUAAAAAUGACGCGUUUUCAAGCGAAAUAUGCACCGAUUGCGUAGUCUUAGCUCAAAAUCCAGACAAAUCUUGUCGAUUUCAAAGAGCAAUGGUUAAGUGGCCAGCAAUGAAAUAGACAGGCCUACGUCAUAUUGCUGUUUGACACGACUACCCAAAGUCCAAGCUCUUGUAAAAAUGGUUCUGAUAGUAACCUCCUUUAGAAGGAGAGCUUUAUAUAAAGAUUUAGGGAAACAUUUAACUUUGAAAAGCUAAAAAUAUUAGAUUUUCCUUUACUAAAUAAUGGGUUAUAGCUGAACAAAUCGCACUUGAAAUUUUAAGGUGCAUCUAAUGUUUAUUUUGUUGCCUAUGCAGUUUUCUUAAGAAUUGUGAUUUUUUAUUGUUGAACAAUGAAAUUAAAUGAUCUUUAAGUUGAAAUUAAACUCAUUCAUACCGAAGUAUAAUGUUAUUUUGUUUGGGUCAUGAUCUUGGACAGUGAAAUGAACUGCACGCUCAUUACAGGCACGUAGCACCUUUUUGUAAAGUGUGGGGGCGGGGGCUGACUCAUUCAAAUGAUCUGGAACAACUUCUCAAAAAAAAUCAUUCGGGAGGAGGGAGGGGGGGGGGGUAGCGUUGUACAUUUAACUUCAAUUUCACUUUUUAUUUCCUUAUUUUCACUUCAAUUUUUCAAAUAGUCCCAAAACGUUGGUGGUGGAGGACUUCAUGAUAAUUCAUAUUUUAUAUGUGAAUUAAUUAAGAAGAAAAUUGUUUGCUGCGAGAAAAAGUGGAAGGACCACCCCCUCUCCCCCCCCCCCCCCCAUCUGUCUGUGUUCAUAAUGAUAUGAAUUCGUGCACACGGUGUAUUCACUUCAUGUUUGAGCCAUGACGGAUUUUGAUGAUUCUGAAUUAUUCUAAAUCAAAUGAUCCAGCAAACAAAUAUUUUUCUUUGCCCCAUACUUAGGAAAAGGCAUAAAGUGUGUAUUUAUGUUUAUGUAUGCAUGUUUAAGAUUGCUUAAGAACACUAACUUGCAGAACUCUGUCAUAAUUGUGUUAUCAUUAUCUAAGCAUGUACAUGUUAUGGCUGCAAUUCAAAUGCAAGGACAUCUGUUUCAAUUGAUAGAGCCACGAAUGUUUUUUUUUUAAAAGUGCAUAUCCACUGCACCUUAUCUUAUAGUGAUCAACACCUGCAAAUCUUAAAUAUUUUCCUAAUAAAUUUCAAGUUCAAUUUUUAAUU
rnacentral:misc_RNA from 1 species